UUGAAGAUCGAUCAUGAGAGUUCAAAUCGGACCAAUCCAUUUUUCAUACGAGCAAACGUUGAGUUCUACGUGUGAUCAGUGGAAGAUCCAUCAUUAAUUAAAAAUGAAAACUUUGAAGAUGGAUUCAUAAUCCAACAAUAAUUAUUUUCUUGAGGUUUGGAUGUUCUAAGAACUACAGAAGCACCUCCAGGAAGUAACAGUAGCAACCUUGAAACCAGUAGCAGCUCCAAACAGUAACAACAGUAUCGACAAGAGACGACAAC
rnacentral:lncRNA from 1 species